CGUCAACCCCUCUAAGUACUCCUUCCAAGAUCUUAUUCCUUCGGGAAAGUUUUGGUCCUCCAUCCUCUUCUCAUGGCCCUUGAUAUAAUCAUUCCACUCGACUCGAAAAUCCACAACAAAUGGAUGGUAACGAACAUGCUCGAGCAUCCAUAACUGCAAUAGAAUGUUACAUCCUUCAAAAUAGUCUGCUCCAUUUUUG
rnacentral:lncRNA from 1 species